rnacentral:lncRNA from 1 species
AAGAGAGAGAGAGAGAGAGGUGUUGGGACAUCUGUGAAGAUGAGUUGAAUGGGAUCGGGUCCAAAGAAAGACUCAAUAAAUGCAUGAGAAAAUAUUAGCUAUUUGUCACUUUCAACACAGCCCCCAUUGCACGAGUUGUUCUACCCAAAAAAACAGAGUAAGUUUUAAAGCUUGAAGUACCUUUAUCUUCCAAGAAACUUUUUAAAACCGAUUCAAGUAAAAUUAAAAGUUUCACUAUUAUUAGGCUUUUUAUAUAUACAAAAUUUGAUAAUGAUGUGUGUAUGAUUGUUUGUAUUCACGUUAUGGAAGUUGGAAUAUAAAAGGAGUUUGCUUUUGUUUUUAACAAAAGAAAGAAGAAGAUAUAUAUAUAUAUGAUUGAUCCAUCUUGAAGGCUUAAAAGCCAAAUAACAUAAAUGAGAAACAAUAAAUGUUGUGUUACCAAUUAAAGUUUUUUAAAUAAAAUAUAAAAAAGGAUGGUAGCAAAGUUGAGGAAUCUUUACAUUAAAGCACCUUCCCACUCAGUACAUGUAUUACACUAAAACCUCUAUAAAUUAAUAAUGUUGGGACCACAUAAUUUUAUUAAUUUNNNNNNNNNNNNNNNNNNNNNNNNNNNNNNNNNNNNNNNNNNNNNNNNNNNNNNNNNNNNNNNNNNNNNNNNNNNNNNNNNNNNNNNNNNNNNNNNNNNNNNNNNNNNNNNNNNNNNNNNNNNNNNNNNNNNNNNNNNNNNNNNNNNNNNNNNNNNNNNNNNNNNNNNNNNNNNNNNNNNNNNNNNNNNNNNNNNNNNNNNNNNNNNNNNNNNNNNNNNNNNNNNNNNNNNNNNNNNNNNNNNNNNNNNNNNNNNNNNNNNNNNNNNNNNNNNNNNNNNNNNNNNNNNNNNNNNNNNNNNNNNNNNNNNNNNNNNNNNNNNNNNNNNNNNNNNNNNNNNNNNNNNNNNNNNNNNNNNNNNNNNNNNNNNNNNNNNNNNNNNNNNNNNNNNNNNNNNNNNNNNNNNNNNNNNNNNNNNNNNNNNNNNNNNNNNNNNNNNNNNNNNNNNNNNNNNNNNNNNNNNNNNNNNNNNNNNNNNNNNNNNNNNNNNNNNNNNNNNNNNNNNNNNNNNNNNNNNNNNNNNNNNNNNNNNNNNNNNNNNNNNNNNNNNNNNNNNNNNNNNNNNNNNNNNNNNNNNNNNNNNNNNNNNNNUUAUCUUAUUAUCUUAUCGAAUUUGGUUAAUUUUUACAUUGGUCCGACUUAGGACCAUCAAAACUUAUUAAUUUAUAAUGUUUAUUAAUUUAUAGAGUAUUAAUUUAUAGACGUUUUCCUGUAUAUAGUCCAUAUAACACUGAUAAAGUUUACUCUCCAAUAUGAAAAGUGUGUAUGAUUUGGAAACUGUUUUGUUUUCCCCCAAGUCAGUUGAGCCAAAAUAAAUAUUCUGUGAAUCCCAAAUAUGAUUUUAGUUGAGAUUUGCAGAAACUUAAAAGGAAGGACCUAGAAAGUAUUGAAGCUCUGCCCGUAGUUUCAUUACUGCUUCGGAAUAAAAAACAGAAUCAAAAGUUUAAAAAAAGUUUGGAAGCAUGGUAGAAGCGUGUUUCCGAAAAAAGCAAAUCGGAAGCGUUUUUUUUAGUCAAACAAAUCAGAAAAGUUUUAGAAGCCAAAACUGCUUGGAUUUGCCUAUAUACUGCUUAGAAAUAUAUUUAGACAAAAAAAAAUACAGUUUAAAUUAGAAACCAAAAAAAAAAAAAGAGAAGAAAGAACACAUUAUCUUAAUGUCAGUGUAUACAAAAUAAAUGCUCUGUGUAAAAGUAUGUUCCUUUUUGAUCGAAAUGCGAAAAAUAAAUUAAUGCUCAAGGCAGACCAAAGGAAAUAAAUAAAUAAUAAUAAUGCAAAACCUCAACCACGCGCUCUCGGUCUUGAAAUUUCUAUUUUAUGCGAAAAUAACCCAUUUUCGUGGGUUUUAGUCCAGGGGUUUUUGUCUCACGCGCUCAACGCGCUUAAGUUACGCGUGGGUUUGCUUCUUGUGGCAUCCUAAAUUGGCUUAGCUUUAGAAAUAUUCUGCAUAAUGAACUGAAAUUAAAUUAACUUCAUUAAUUCAUAAUUUAUCCAGGAAAAUUAAUUAUAGUCAGUUACCACCAAUUAUAAUUUUAUGAUUGGGAAAUGAUCAGAAAUUGAAUACAUGCAUGGUACAAAUAUAUAUUUAUGAAAAACAACAAAUGAAAAGAGUAAAAGCAUCAUGAAUAAAGAUUAAUAAAAAGACUGAUCUCAGUGGUCCUUUUUUAUUAGGUUCUUUUCCAGUUUUUUCUUUCUGAGCUAUUUGUCGAAACAUAUAUAACUAUAAAACGUUAACUCAUUUAACAAAAAUAAAGAAAUGGUGUUUAUGAUCUAAUUCAAUAGAAUAUCGAGAAAUAUCAUUUAGCUUAACUUCUCUAUGCAAAAAAAAAUAAUUAAAAAAAGGUAUAAAUGAUAUUUUUUUCCUUUAAAACUCUUCUAAAUCGUUAAUAUUGUCACGUAAUGUGCCUUUCUAUAAAAGUAAUUAGUUUGCUUUUAUCACUACUGUUAUUUUUGUUGUUGUUACUUGUUUCACCUUCUACUAUUUUGAAAGUAUUAAAAAAAGAAAGGUAAAUAGAAAUAUUUUUAAUAGUUUUAACACUUUUCUCGUUUAAUUUCCACGAAUGUAAUAGAAUUUAGAAAAACUUAUUACCCAAGAAAAAACUUAUUACUUUGUGUGGUUUGAAUUAUUACCUCCGAAAUUAGUUUUUCAUAUCCAAAUAUAGAACCUUGAAAUAGCCUCCAUCAGACAAAAAAAAGAAAGUUAUAGAAAAAAUCCCUCAACCCAUUGCAUUAUCUAUUUUCUUCUUUUAUGAUCAACAUUAGAAAUUUGCGGAUACUAUUUGUUUUUUUUUUUCUUUUUGAUAAAAAUUUUUUUGAUAAAGUAUUACAAAUAUAACACUUACUAAGGAGGGGAAAAAAAGGAAAUUUCUCCAUUUUUUUUAUUUUGUUUCUUUUACAAAAAAAAAAAAGAAGAGAAGAAAGAACAAGAAGAAGAAAAAAAAGAAAAUAAAAAAUGUGGCUACCGAAAGCAGAAGCGACAAACAACAAAGGAACGAGAAGUGGUUCUGUGGCGAUUGCAAUAGAUAAAGACAAAAGUAGCCAAAAUGCUAUCAAAUGGACAUUGGAGAAUCUUGCCUCUCGUGGACAAACUCUUGCCCUUAUUCAUGUCCUUCCCAAAUCUCAAUCUUCUCUAGGUUCACAUUAAUAUAUUAUGUCUCACAUUUCAUUUCCAGUUUAGUUUUUAGGGUUUUUAAAUUGUGUACGUAAUUCAAUUGCAGACAUUGAAGAAGGAAUCUCACAUAAGCAACAAAUGGAGAAACAGACGAAAGAUCUCUUUGUAUCCUUCCACUGUUACUGCAGCCGCAAAGAGGUAUGUAUACUUAAUUUAAAUCCAAGUUUCAAAGCUUUUUUAUUUAAUUUAUUUAUUUUUGGUUUUAUGCAUGCAUGCAUGCAGAUCCAUUGUCUGGACGUUGUGCUUGAAGACGUAGACAAAGUCAAAGCAAUAGUCGAAUAUGUUACGGUUUCUGCGAUUGAGAAUCUAGUUCUUGGUGCUCCAUCACGGAACAGCUUUAUGCGGUAAUACAACUGAUGAUUAAUGAUUUAUUGGUUUGGGUGCCGAACAAGUAUUAACCAAACUUAGGGUUUCCUUUUUUAUGAUUUUGAUCCUUAACAGAAGAUUCAAAACGGAUUUACCAACGAGUGUGUCAAAAGCAGCCCCAGAUUUCUGCAAUGUUUACGUCAUCUCCAAAGGAAAGAUCUCUUCGGUACGAAACUCCUCGCGUCCUGCUCCUUAUCAUCCAUCAGUUCUUAACGAACCAUCAGAGACUCAUCAUGAUACUAUCGCCAUUGAGAGAAAACAUAAACCAGGUCCGAGUUUUUUUUUUAUAUAUCGUUGCUUGCGUGAAAAGCAUCUCAAACGAAUAUUCUUUAAAAUCUACCAUCUUCUCUGUUUUCAACAGCUAACACACCGGCCGUGCCUAGGGGACGAAGAUCAGUUGAUUCUGAUGUUACCAGGUAUUAUAUUCUGUUAGCAAAACAAUCGAGAAAUCUCUUACGUACGUGUAGCUACCUCAAAAAUGUCAUAAGUCUUUUGAUUUCGACUUUUGUAGAUUAGGGCUGCCAAAACCACCACAUGGACAUAUGAAAUUAGUGGGGGAUUUCUCAGAUUCAGAGUCAGAGUUCUCAUACAUCAGCGCUUCUCAACAAGAAUCCGACAUUUCCUUCAUCAGCUCGGGGAGGCCGAGUGUAGAUCGAUCUUCUUUCACCUACGACUUACCAGAAUCAGCAAGAACCUCAAGAAUGUCAACGAGCUCAGAUCAGAGCAUUGGCUCACAUAGAUUAGGAAUCAAGUUUACGGAUAUGAGUUAUCUCAAUGGCUCUUCUACUGUUUCUGAUGAUAGUGGAAGAACUUCUUGUUCUUAUUCAUCUCAGAGCUUGGUAUAGUUGAAAUCAAAUCAUAUUUCUUUUGUAUUGCUCUCAUAUUUGUUUUUCAAUUACAGUUCCAUGAAAAUUAGUGUUUGUUUUGUUGCAGGAUGAUGUUGAAGCUCAAAUGAGGAGACUGCGUUUAGAGCUAAAACAAACUAUGGAUAUGUAUAGCUCAGCUUGCAGAGAAGCUUUAACCGCAAGGCACGAGGUACUUAUUAUACAUCUUUAAGAUCCAUGUUGUUCUUUACCUCAAGAGGAUUGAUUUAUAAAUUGGUUAAAAAUCUGGUUUAGGCGACAGAGCUGCAAAAGCUAAGAACAGAAGAGGAAAGACGAUUAGAAGAAUUAAAGAUGACAGAGGAAACAGCAAUGUCAAUGGUGGAAAAAGAGAGAGCAAAAGCCAAAACUGCCUUGGAAGCGGCUGAAGCUGCAAACAGGCUUGCUGAAGCGGAAGCAAAUAGGAGGCUAAACGCAGAGAUGAAGGUAUUGAAAGAAAGCGAUUCUUUCUCUCGACAUAGUAUAGUCCGAUACAGGAAAUACUCUGUUCAAGAGAUCGAAGAAGGUACAAAUAAUUUCGCAGAGUCAAGAAAAGUUGGAGAAGGAGGGUACGGGCCUGUGUUUAGAGGUCAUCUUGAUCACACAAGUGUUGCUGUUAAGGUUUUACGCCCUGACGCUGCUCAAGGAAGAUCACAGUUUCACAAAGAGGUAACAAAAUCACUAUCUUCUCUACAAAUUUUCUCCAGUAACUCUGUUUUCCCUAUCGCUUACUUGUGUUACAAGAAAGAGGUUGUUGAAUGAAAUACUUUGAAACUUGACUCAGGUUGAAGUACUAAGCUGCAUAAGACAUCCAAACAUGGUGCUUCUCUUAGGAGCUUGUCCAGAAUACGGUAUCCUCGUCUACGAAUACAUGGCCAAAGGAAGCUUAGAUGACCGCCUUUUCAGACGCGGAAACACACCGCCAAUUUCAUGGCAGUUGCGUUUCAGGAUCGCUGCUGAGAUCGCUACGGGGCUCCUCUUCCUCCACCAGACAAAACCAGAACCAAUAGUCCACAGAGACUUGAAACCAGGAAACGUACUUCUCGACCACAAUUACGUCAGCAAGAUAAGUGACGUCGGGCUUGCAAGACUCGUCCCCGCGGUAGCUGAAAACGUGACUCAGUAUCGAGUAACAUCAGCUGCAGGGACGUUCUGUUACAUCGACCCGGAGUAUCAACAAACGGGGAUGCUGGGUGUGAAAUCAGAUGUUUAUUCUCUCGGAAUCAUGCUUUUGCAGCUUUUGACGGCGAAACAGCCGAUGGGUUUGGCUUAUUACGUGGAACAAGCGAUCGAAGAAGGGACAUUGAAAGAUAUGCUCGAUCCUGCAGUACCAGAUUGGCCAGUAGAGGAAGCUUUGGCUCUUGCAAAGUUAUCGCUACAAUGUGCCGAGUUAAGAAGAAAAGAUAGGCCUGAUCUUGGUAAAGAAGUGAUGCCUGAGCUUAAUAGACUUCGAGAGCUUGGUGAAGAGAGUCUUGAGUCUGUGUAUUAUGCUGGACAAGGACGAUCUUCACAUGCUAGUCAAAUCUCUUAUACAUCGGUAAGAAGAUUUUAUUCGAAAACACUUCCAUCAGCUUAGAUGUCUCUCUGUGAUGUUUAUGUUUUUGUGGGAUAUAUAUUGCAGGAAGGUAGGAGUGCUCCUUUAAUAUCAAAUACUGGAUCUUCUAUAUCAAACCCAUAGUUUUAAGGAAUUUGGUAAGAUAUAAUUGUCUUUCAUCUUACGUUCACGUAUUUUUAAGAUAAACACUCAUGAUUAAGAUUUUGAUUUGCAGGAGAUAACUAACUUCAAUAGAAGCAAGCCAAGAGCAAUUUAUUCAGAAAAGUAGUUGCUUAUUUGAGCUGAAGCAAACAAGUGGCUAUGGUUUUACUAGAGUCGGAUUUGUGUAUAAUUUUUGUAUUUUUUUUUAUCAAAGGAACAAUAUGUUGUAUAUACGUGGAAAUACAAAUUUACCAUGGUGAUUCAUGCUGUAAAAUUAUAUUUUUUUAAAACUAUGAAUUACAUGUUAGUCGACACGUAAAUAACAACGUGGCAAUGUUCUGACGUUGUCAAGUGUUUACACAAGAAAAAAGAAAAGUCUUUCUUUAAUGGGGUUUUAAACGAGGUAUUUUUCUAAGGUACGAGAGAAAUCAGAAACAAUGGGACAAGGUAAAGAGGUCAAGACGAGACCAGAUCCUCAAGUUGAGAUUCAGGUUUUAUUUACAUUCCUCUGUUCGUUGCUGAUGUAUCCAAGUUUAAAAACACACUCUGGUCUCUGUUUUUGAUGAGGUCAGUUUAUAUUAAUCAGGAAAGAGGAGAAAUAUUCUUCUUUUAUAGGCCAAAGGUUAACAAAGAAGAAGCUCACAGUCUGGAUGAUGUUCAAAGGUUGUACAUAGUGAUGCGUCCUGAGUCCGGUGAGAAUCCUACGGAGGAGAAACAAGACCCUCUUUCAGGUAAAGAAGGUUCCGAUAAAGAUUCCGGUGACGGAGAUGCUAGUACUAGCUCCUCCGGCGCCAAGAACCAAGGUGAAGGAGGACACGGCGUGGAGGUAGCACAAGAAUUAAGAACAAAGCAGUACUAGGGAUUAAGCUCUUAUUACAUGAUCAUAAAUUAUUAAGUCUUUUGUUCAAAAAAAAAAUUAUUAAGUCUAAUCUCAAUCUUUGUAGAAAGUGAACAUCGAGAAACAACUUCUGCUACGAUUCAUUGUGAUGGGUAAGAAGAGUCUACCUGAUCCGAGCAAGAAGUCGCAACCUUUUUGGGGAUUCGUGGAGAUGGUGACCACAAAUGUUGAAGAUGUUAAAACNNNNNNNNNNNNNNNNNNNNNNNNNNNNNNNNNNNNNNNNNNNNNNNNNNNNNNNNNNNNNNNNNNNNNNNNNNNNNNNNNNNNNNNNNNNNNNNNNNNNNNNNNNNNNNNNNNNNNNNNNNNNNNNNNNNNNNNNNNNNNNNNNNNNNNNNNNNNNNNNNNNNNNNNNNNNNNNNNNNNNNNNNNNNNNNNNNNNNNNNNNNNNNNNNNNNNNNNNNNNNNNNNNNNNNNNNNNNNNNNNNNNNNNNNNNNNNNNNNNNNNNNNNNNNNNNNNNNNNNNNNNNNNNNNNNNNNNNNNNNNNNNNNNNNNNNNNNNNNNNNNNNNNNNNNNNNNNNNNNNNNNNNNNNNNNNNNNNNNNNNNNNNNNNNNNNNNNNNNNNNNNNNNNNNNNNNNNNNNNNNNNNNNNNNNNNNNNNNNNNNNNNNNNNNNNNNNNNNNNNNNNNNNNNNNNNNNNNNNNNNNNNNNNNNNNNNNNNNNNNNNNNNNNNNNNNNNNNNNNNNNNNNNNNNNNNNNNNNNNNNNNNNNNCUAGAGCUGUCGGAGAAGGAAUAUAUCGAAUCCUCCGACAUAAGCCUAGUCCGACACGAAAACACCAUACACAUCUUGUCUACAAGCUCGAAUUGCCAUCUAAGUCGCAUACCAGAGCACAAGAGCCACAAGAGUCGAUGAACAUUGAACCCGAAGGAUCCUUCUUGAUCCAAAUACGAAAUCCAGAGCAAGGAGGAGGAGGACGGUCAGGCUUUGGUGGGCUGCAGAGAAAGAGGAGGGCUCAUUUUCCGGCACAUCUUCAAGCCCAUUUAGGCCAUACCCGGUUUGGGGCAGCGGACCCGCCCGAUUUCCUGAACUACGAAGGAUGCGAGUUGUUGUUGAUCUCGGUGUCCGACGAUAUAGAGGAAGAGUUAGGGAUGGAGUUGGACCCUGAGGGUGACGGUGAUGACUCGACUUGCGAUCUUUUGAAGACUUUCGGGGACGAUGUUGAAGCCACUCCGCUGCUUCGCGGUGCAUGGGAGUAAUAAUGGUGGGAUGCCCACUAGUCAGUUAUAUUAUACUUAGAUGAUAAAGCUACUAACUAGUGUUUUGAAGACAAGUGUGGACGGCUUUAGGUGGUUUUAUUUUGUCUUUCUUAGGGGUCAAAGUUUGGUGUAUUUAACCUGUUAUGAACAUGACUCAAAUAGUUUGGUUUAAAAUAUAAAAUGACACAGGGAAGUGCUUAGUAUCAGUUCAAUGAUCCAUUUUAGAGUACACUAAACCUUAAACAUGUUGCAUGAAUUCAUAACCUACCUCAGCUCUUUCAUUCACUAUAUAUGUGCAAAGAUGAUUAGAUAUAUCUUUUAUCAAAAAAAGAUUGGAGCCAUGACAAGCGUGAUAGUCGCCAACAUCUUGAUGAGAACGUGAAUCGACGGUCCGGCUGUGUCCUUAAAAGGGUCUCCCACACUUGCCAUUAAAAGACAUGAUUUAUCAGUAGAAAACAGUUGGACUUUCACAUUAAAAGUACAAAGGAAAUGACCAAUGAGGUGGAGACUAAGAAGAGGAGAAAGCACAAGGAAUUUGAAAGAUUGCUUACGUAUCACCAGUUACUGCAGCUUUGUGGGAAUCACUUCCUUUGCCUCCAAGUGCUCCAGUCUCAAUGUAUUUCUUUGCAUUGUCCCAAGCACCUCCUGCUGUAUUUAGGAAGAGUGCCAUUAAGAUACCACAUACUGUUGCAAACAUUAGCAUUGCAGCUACUACUUUUGCUCCAAGCAGAGGUUGUCCCGUGUAGUAUCCUAAGAUCCGGAACACGAAACCUGAGGAGACCAAAUACAGAGGGUUUUAUUAUUAUGUUUCUUUCUUUCUCAUCUGGCAGCUUAACCAACGUGUUACUGACUUACCAACUGCAAUCGGUGAUACUAUAGCCAACGCUCCUGGUUUUAUCAUCUCCUUCAAAGCUGAAGAUGCAACAAUGGCAACACAUCGAGCAUAAUCAGGUUUCUCCUUGUAGUCCUGUUACAUUAAGUUCAAAAGGAUACCCAAAUGGAAAAAAAGUAAUAAAAGGGGAGGAUGUAUAUAUUUUACCAUAAUGCCAGGCCUCUCAAUAAACUGUCUUCUUACUUCGCUGACAACCUCCUGUGCAGUUCGACCAACUGCUGCACAAGCCCAAUAGCAAACCCUUUUGUUGUUGCUUUUGUGGUGUUCCCAACAGCAUCAAGAACAUCAGUGAUCUCACGGACACUUUCUGGCUGCAAUAGACAAGAGACUAUUAUUUUUCUAUAUACUUAUUUCACAGCAUUCGUGGGCCAAAGCCCAACAGAUGGUCCACGGAGGAAAUUCUUACCCAAAGUUGUGUUUUCCUUUUUAUAAUAAAAAAUUAUCCUGGCUACUAGGUAGCUGCAAAACACUCGAAUUCUGCAGUAGUUUCUCCGGAGAAGAAGAAGAUGAAGCAACCGGCGACACCGAACACGGCGGAGGAAAGUAAAGCAGAGCAAAAGCAGAAAUCCAAAAAAUUCCCAACUCCGACGGAGCUAAUCUCUCACUACCAGAAACGAGGGCUAGAACCAGCAGAAGCUUCGGUUAAGGUCAUCGAAGACCUACAAAACGCGCUCGUCCGAGUCGUUUCGUCUUCCAGAAACCAAUCGAGUAAGGAUAAGCUUGUAACCGACGCCAGAAAAAUCGACGCCAUUACCGGGAGGCUCGCCGUCGUCGACGCAAAGCUAGAGACGAAACCUGGAUACGUUGAGACUUUCGUCUUGGGGUUAGCUUCUGGUGCUGCACUUAACGGAGUUAACGCCGUCUGGCCUCACGUCACCAGAGGCAUUGCCCAAAUUUGGUCCGCCGUUAAGAGCGGGACUGAUCCGUCAGCUGCCCCUUGAAAUGUUCGAAAGAGAUGUUGUCCAUUCUCCAAUGAUUUUGGUUUCUUUGUUCUUCUUCCGGUGUUUGUUGUAGUAGCGAAAUUUGAGUUCUCAGCCACUUCUAAUUUUUGUAUUUGUUGGAACAAAAUCAUCUCGUUAUUACAUUAUCCCAUUUAAUUUUGCCUCCAAAUAAAGAAAAGCUAAUGUAAAAUUGAUAAAAAAGGCAUGUUUUACUUUAGAAUAAAAGAAAAUAUACACAGGAAAAAUGAAAAUAAUUCUUAGCAGGCAACUUCACAGACAAAAUUUGCGACUGGAGUUGCAAAUACUACAGGUUAGCCAAAAUUUUCUCUCACUGCUAGUCUCAGAGAGAACCUAUGAUGAUGCCAAAGGAAUGCAUAAAACUUACCCAUCAAACUGGAAUUUAGCAACUGGCACGAUUGUGGGAAAUCAACUGUGACAUCAGUUUCCGUGUUAUCUUUGUUUACUGUUGUUCUUGCUGGACUCUGCAAAUAAGAAUCGCAUCAAGUGAGCAAAAUUUAGCAUUACGACAGUAAUUUACAUUUGCACAUCAGCUUCCGAGGCAAAACAUAAAGACGUUUGAUAUAUAAUGAAAUCUUACCUUUGAUUGCUUUAGGCGGUCUUGUAUGACUGCCAGCGGUUGAACCUGGGGACAAUGGUCGCUUUGGAGGUUUGGGCUUAUGUGAAGGAAUCAGAGACGAAUUUAGAAUGGCAGCAACUGCUUCACGCUGUUGCUUCCGUUUGGAUAUCAUAUCUUCAACACCACCUUGAUUAGAAGCAUUGCCUUUGUUUAUCUGUCUAUCUUUCUGUCCAACUUCAUCUGUGGGAUCUGCCCUCUUGCUACUGUCAGCCUUUGAUGAAGCCUUCUUAUAUUUCUUCCACUCGUUUGAAUUUUCCUUCUUAUAACUAUUUGCAUCUCUAUUCUCUGGGUUACUGUUUUUCUCUCUACCUUUCAUUUUUUCUUUCUUUUCAUGGCUCCCUCUCAGAGUCUCUUCGGAUGUUACUUUCUCACUGCUUGCAACUAGUUUUGUCCUUUGAGACGAAGCUUCUUCUUUGGCUUUUCGUUUGCUGUGCUUGCUCUCUGAUCCUUUUGAUAAGAGAGGCACAACAUCUCCAUCGGAUUUCCUCAUUUUUCUAUCAUUAGAUGUCUCUGCUAUCUGUUCCUUGCGACGUGAAUGCUGCUUCUCAGGCUUAGAAAAUUUAUCUAGAAGAUUCUCAGAAUGGUUUUGUUCCAUCACUUUUUCGCCAAACAUGUAGUUGUACGGUCUCUUAACUGGUAUAAUGACUUCUCUUUCUUUUGCGUCUUUCACAAGAGCAGCCCAGUUAUGGUCUCUUUGCAAGGUUCGUGUGUUACCCAAAACCCAAAGGGAGAGUUUGGCUCUAGUGAGAGCAACAUUCAUGCGUCUAACAUCUGCAACAAAACCAAUCCGACUUUGAUUGAUCCCAUCAGGAGCAGAAUGUGUAGCUCUUACCGUGGAUAGCACUAAUAUGUCAACUUCUCUGCCUUGAAAACCAUCGACAGUAUUUAGUUCCAUAUCUGCUGUUACUUGAGCCCCAAAUGCACCAGUGAAACGCGAACGUAAAACUGCAAGCUGACGUUUGUAAGGAGUUAUAAUGCCAAUCCUUCCAGCAACAAAUUCAGAGGGGUAUCUGUAAGUAACAAGCUAGCCAGUGAGUAAAAUGAUAUCAUAGAAUUUUCUUAAACAUUGUGUAAAUAGAUGGCUUAAGAUGAAUAAUGACCUCUUCUUGAAAAAUCUAAGUAGCUGAACAGCUGCUUCAGCUUCUUGUUCAUUGCAAACGGAGCUAGAAUCUCCACUUCGAUGCUCUUGGCCAUCAACGAUAUCAUAGAAAACGUACGGUCCAAGAUGAGGACUUUCGUGAAAUGGGGCUGACUUGUUUGACAUGUCGACACCGUUUAGUAACUUACUGUCAUAGAAGUGCAUGGACGGGAAUCUACAAAUUUCUGGAUGCAUCCUAUACUGUUAGGAGAGAAAGCAUAUUAGCCCAACUUCCAGACACAGACAUAAUUUUCUAGUUUCAAACAAACUUUCAACCAUUUAGCUAACACAACAAAGAUAAAAUUGCAGGGGAAACUUCCAAUUUAAAAGAAGGAGAAAGUAUCAAGUAAUCAGCGUACCUGCUGGGUAAGCAUAAGGAUAGGAUACCCAGCCCUCUGUAGACGUUCAAACAUGCUACAUUCAUACAAAAAUUUACUUGCAACGUUAGAGAGAACUGUUGCUGGAAGCUGCUUUGGGUCUCCAACCUGUAAUAAGAGACAAGGUUAUUCAGGUACAACUGCAAAUAUAGUAGAAACUUCUGUAACACAAGUGAACAACUCUCACCAUUAUACAUUUCGUUCCUUUUGACUUUAACAACUGCAGAGGAAUCAGUGUAGCGGGUUCCAAAGCCUGUGCAGCCACAAAAACAAAAAAAGUGAUGAACUGUGACGAGAACACCUUAUGUCAAACAAGAAAGCAUGCUACAAAUAUUUACCUGAGCUGCUUCGUCAAUCACUACCGCAUCAAAUAAAUUAUCUUCAGAUGGACUACCGAAUUUAUGGGCAGAUAAAGAUUCAGCACAAACAUUGUACAAAUCUCCUCCACAACCACUUAAAGUUGUAACAACUAUUUGAGCUUCUUUAAGAAUGGACUUCCGCAACUUAUGUUUCAAUGCUCUAAUUUCAUUGUUAGCUUUUCUCUCUUGAGCCUGAACAGCACUAAGAUCUUUGUAAAUCUUUCUCUUUUGCUCAUAUAACCUCCGCAAUCUUAUUCCUAGCUCCGCAUCGGACAUUGGCUUGCCAUCAUCAUCUUUGUUCAGGUGUUCAUUCGCUGGCUUCUCUUUGGCGUCUAAACUUUCUUGAUUUAUGUUUGCACGCUUAGCUUCAAAAUGUGUGAUCUGAUCGACAAUCUUUUCUAGAUUAGAGCGCAGUAUUGCAGAAGAAUCUGCACCCUUACUACUCUUAGAUUCGUUUAUCCGCAUUCUCUCCUCUGCCAAACGCUGAUCAACAAGGGUGUCAAGAAAGAAGGGCAUUGAAUUUGGAUGAACAGUUUUUGCAUUUCCAACCCUCACAAGAUAAGGUUUGAACAUCUUCCCAUCCCCGCCAUAUAUGCCUAGACUGGAUAUCCUUGAAACUAAUUCAUCAACUGCAGCAUUUGACUGAGCACAGAUCAGCACCCUUCCUCUACCAAUCUUUUCUCCUAUCUUUUUCUUUGUUUCCCCGUCAUCAUUUAGCUGUUUAGCCAUAGCUGCAUCUUGCCAUGCCCUUGCAAGAGCAACAUUCGGAUUCAUUCUCUGCCUAGAAGUUGAUGAACUAUGAUCUUGUUCAGAAUUCCCCCUACCACUUGCUUUAUGUGAAACGGAUGCAAGCAAGCCACUAAUAAUGGCAACAAUAGUGCGAGUCUUGCCAGUCCCUACAGGAGCAAACGAAAUUUCUUUACAUUCAUCAAAGUCCAACAUCAACAAUCAAUUAGUGCAAAAUGCUAAAUUUUCUCCCAGAGCAUCUUAUGACAUUAUUAGCUUUAGUGACAGAGAAAUAAAAUGACUAACCUGGAGGACCCUGAAUAAGUGAAAUGUCAAACGCUUUCAUCAAAUUGGAUGAGCCAAUAGCAACACUAAUAGCCUGAAGUUGACUCUCAUUGAAAGAUGAUUUAAGUAUUUGCUGUAGAGAAUGUGGUAGUGAACGCAGAUCUGACUUUUUAACUUCAGAAUCAUAAUUAGCAUCACUCAUAGGAUUUAAGAUCAGAGGAAGUACAGGAAUAUCCUUUAUGGACGACAGAGCUUGAAAUUCUCGAACUUGGGAUGUAAUGUUGAGAAUGCGACUUGCAUGCCACAGGCUACGUUCCAAGAGAUUCCUUCUAGCUUGAUUCAGACGUGACGACGCAUUCUGAAGAUACAAGCGUAUAUUCAAAAUGCUGGACCGUUUUUUGUCAUCCCAUUCCCGUCCUUCCACCUAAGAAACAGCAAGGUAAGUAAUCUCUAUCCUGAUCUUUCAAAGUAUAUAUCCAACAACUAUGUAGAGUAUCAGAACAUCAGGAAUAACUCUUUAUCUUAUAUUAAAAUAAGUAAAUCAAAUUCCGUUGAAGCUCCAAACCAGCACCCUGAAUAUAUCUGGUCAAGUAACUAUAGUAUAUUUGUGGUUUUCAAGCAUAUACAUUCCUGAUUCUACUUUACCAAGAGGGUGCAAGUUAAACAAAAUACCACAUACCUUUCCCAUCAUAUUAACACCCAUAUUGCUGUUUUCUGGAUGCUCUUUUGUGAACAAAACCAAGUCAUUCUCAGAAAAACUUUUCGAGUUGGAUCCAUCAUUUUCAUCUUGCAUAAAACGAACAAAGUGAAAAUCGUCAACCCUUUCAAUCGAUAAAACAGACAAAACACCAUAAUAUAUCUCCCCCAGUGAUGAUAUCUCCUGGAAGCAACUUUGCAACUGUGCUUUAAACUCCUCCAGAACCAAAGGCUGAAAAAUCUGAAUAUAUUGCUCAGGUGAACCAAAGCGAACAGGAACUUCCCUAAACUUUCCAACAAUCUGAUUCUCAUCUUUAUUUGUUGACGCCAAUCCCACAAUCGCAUAGUAGUCCAUUUGCAAAAUCUUUCUAAACCAAUCUUCAAGCUUUGGUGGUCUAAAUCGUUUGAAUCCGGCUUCUUGCCUUUGCCAACGAUCGGAUGUCUUAUUGACAGGUGCACAAAGUUGAAUGACUUGUCUUUUGGGAACAAUAGGCCCUGGUUUUGCCAGGGGUAAUAACUGUGGUUUCCGAGGUUUAAGAGCCAAGUCCAAAGGAUCAGCCUCUGUCUCAUUCACUACUUUUCUCAAAUCCAUGUCUUUCGCCUUGGAAAUCGCAGAUUUCUGAGGCUCUUUUAAAGUUGCACGAGGGAUGAGUUCAUCAGUAGCCUUCUUUAAGUUGGGUCUGUUUUCAAAUGAAACAGGAUUUUCCAUAUUCUGUCUUUUUUCCGCUUCCCUACUCAUACCUGCAGCCUUGCUUGGUUCAGCAUUUCUCGUGGGAAGAUCCUUGACAAUAUUACUUGAGCUAACUGUAACAUCUCUCUCUGAAUGAACUGACGUUGAAAGCUUUGAAGCAUCCCUACCAGAAGUACUCUUCUUCAGAGAAGAGACCUGUGAGAUACUUUUAAUAGGUGGAAGAGUUUUCUUGAUAUCAGGUUGAUGAGACUUAUGCAGACUAGGUAACUUCUUCAAUGAUUCCUUCUCUGCCUCAUCCACUGUUAGAUCCAUCAUAUUAUCUAGUACUUUGCCAACAACAUCAACAGGUUUGAGAAUCUUGUACUCAGUCGCCUUGGGAACCAGGCGCGAAAUUUGUUCUGCUAAUUGCUCGAUGUCAACAUCAUCUGAAUUAAGAAGAGGCAGAGAGCAUUAUGAACUGUAUCACCUGGGGUAAAAAAGUUCUAAAAUGCCAGUUAUAAACAAUUGACAAGCAAGAAUCCACUAACCAGAGAGUAUAACAUGUCUGAUAGCUUGGACUGCUGAGGAGCAAGCGUCACUGUUUGAUCCUUGUAAGAUGUCUAGCAAAGCCACUAAUGCCCGUUUCCAAUAUGCAACAACAACCUUAAGUUGUGACCUUCCCCAAUCAAUGAGAUCAGGAAGCCAUUUAAGAUCAGAUGCAUCUUUCAAAGUUCCUCUAGCAUCACAGGAGUCUUCAUCGCUUACUCUAAGUUUUCCCAGAACAACAGGAAGAAUCUCAAGCAAACGCACACAUGUCAUCUGCCAAAUUAGAAAAUCGGAACCUUAGAAAAAGAAAAAACUAGACACGUUCCAAAAAGAAACACAUACAGCCAAAGAGGACAGCAGAAUAAAUAACAAGCAGUAGUAUAACCAGAGAUCAAUCUAUGAGAACUUUCAAAUAAUACCUGGCAAAGACUUUGAUGGAUGAAAGCCUUUCCCUCAACUAGACACUUCCUUAUCACGCCCCAUGCAACUUCUGCCAGCAAGUAAUGAAACUUUAAUAAUUCAGGCGUAGCACUCAAGGAAUUUCUGCCCUCACUCACAGGCAAAGCAUUAAAAUUAGGUUGCCUCAAAAAUCCCCCUGCCGAGCUCUUCACUUCGUCAGUACUGGCCACCUCCUCUUCCUUGAGCAACUUAAACAACAAAAAGAAAAAAUGGUGCAAGAUCUGAAAGCUUUGUAGGACAGAGCUCAAAUGGACCUGCCAAAAUCAGGAAAAAAACAGAAGAUAUAAGCAAAUAAAAACAGUUGCAAGUCACAGACUAAUGAAAAAUGUAGACACUCAUGAUUAAAAAAACUGAAGUAUGUGAAAUGCUCAGGCUAGACUUUCAAUUUCUAUAGUGGAAAAGGGUGGAAGAUCUGUAGCCUUAGCAAAGACUAACAUUAAGAACAACAAUACCCACGGAGCAGAAGAAUGCAGAGUACUACUGAACUUGCAUUCCAUGACAAACUUCAAAAUAGAUAGUUAAAUGACUCAUUGCAUGCAUAUCCUCCUAUAUGUUGAAUGAAAAAAUUAGCUGCUGCUUACCUGCUGUAAAACAUGUCUAACUCCAGAAGAAACAAAUAGGAGAUGUGAACUUUGAGAGCAGAGAAACUUCAGCCCACAAGACAGACCUCUGGUAUUUGAAACGUGUUCCAGCAUAGACUUUCCAAAUUGCCUUACAUUCUGUUAACAAAAAUAACACUAGCAAUUGUUCAACUUUACACACAAUAGAACAAGAACAUAGAGUAAUAAAUAUCUAGUCAUCAUCUUUUAUAAUGGUACCCAGGAAAUCAUUAUAGGUAAUUACAUACGUCAUCUGGGUCUGAAAGAGAAAGGAUGAAGGUUUCGGCCAUCCCAGGUACCCAGGUCCACUUUUUUCGACAUUCUUCACCCAUUUGGACCAGAUAACAAGUGGUCAAUCUACAAAAUCAAAACCCAUAAACUUACUACUACAAAGGGUAAUAGAAAAAUUAGUAGUGUUCCUACCACAACAGUGAAAAUGAAAAGUACCUCUUCAAUGUUCGUGUCAAAGUAAGACACAUUUUAGAUACUGUCACAGAGUUUUUGGACUCCUUUCCUGGUCCUCCGUCAUCAGAUCCUGUUGCUACCUUCCACCCAAGCGUGCCUUGGAUUUCAACAGCAGAAGAUGAAAGCCAAGUUUCUAUAUCAAGUGUCAUUUCAUCAUUCUUAUCAGAUUCCACCAAACAAAAUCGUGAUCGAGACCAAAAUACUGCUUGGGAUAGCGAUACUGGAAGGUUUAGAAGAUUUGUAUUUGUAAGAGUAGAAAUCCACAGCAUCGGGAUGCACAUCCACUCUUUACAUUCCCCAAGAGUAAUUUUGCUCUGCUGGGUAAAGGCUCUCCAGUGAAGAUCACUUGCAUCAUCAGCAGUAUGGGAAAAGGGGAGAUUACUUUCAUUGUCGUCAUAUUGCAACUCAUUGUCCAUAUAUUUACCAGUAUUAUUACGUAGCAGCGAAGCUAGUAAGGCUGUUGCAUCAGAUACCAAGAUAGCUUGGACAAGAUCAAUAGCAGGUUGUCGCAAUGAAAUAUGGAGUGAAGAAUCUUUAUACGACGACACAAGAGAUGGGCCCCUGUCACAUCAGUUGACUUCCAUGAAUUGUCUUUGUGAAAACUAUUGUGUCCUUGUCUAACAUUUACAAUUUUCCAAAACUACAAAUGAACAGGACGAUACACCGAACACAGCACUCAAAACAUGACAGAUAUCUAUCUUGGCAUACUGCAAGCAGACCCCAGUGAACUUUAUGUAUUCUACACAUAGGACUGUCAAAAUAUUUAACAUCCAUAUAAAGCUAACAUGAAAGUUGCCGGGAGAAAGAAACGAUCACAACUACAAAAAAAAAUUAUAUAUGAAACUAGAACCGUCCUACUUAAUACUCAUGUCAUGUAAUAAGUAUUUGAUGAAAAUUCAAAACCAAGGUUGAGAAAGAAGCCAACUUUUCAAGUAAGUAACAGACAACAAACAGCUGCAAAACAAAAAAUAGGCCGAAAGUAUACUAACCACAUGUGUGCACACUCAAAGGGAGGGCAAGGAGGGUUCAUUGUGUAACCUCUGAGUACAAUAAGAAGAGCAAUCUGAAGAUAAAUUUCAAAAGUUUGAUGAAGAUAAGAGUAUAAAAAAAUGCCACAGAUAUGUGUUAAUUGAAAAGAAGUAGAACUACCUUGUGGCCAAUUCUUCUUGCUAAAACGCUGAAGUUACUGCUAACUGGGACCUGAUGAAGGAGAAAGUAGAGAAAGUGUCUACGUUGCUUUUCGUGCUCACCAUCUCGCAAUGCUUCAAGGGACUGGAAAAAUAGGAUAUGCAAAAUAUGGCAAGGUAAGUAAACGAAAGCAUGUCAAUCUCCUAAGAGAAUCAUAUACGUAAGAGAAGUAAUGCAAGCUUGCCUGUAAUAAAGGCUGGAAAAGAUCAAAAAUGGCCUUGUGGAUCUUCUCAGCUUUUGUAUGGAAACACUGACCCAACAAUGUGUUACGCAUCACACUUGGGGAUAAGGUAGACCUAAGCCAGAGCUUACAACCUUUUAUCACAUGGGAAUGUGUCAAUAACCUAAUAUAGAGCUUCAAGAUAUACUGGCUACUUUAAAAAACGACAACAGUUACCAUACCAAGUGUCUUAAAUAGCUCUUUUAGGCAAUUAACAGCCAGCGAAAAUUCAGGUGAAUCGCCACUUAUAUGAUUUAACACUGUAUCAACAAAAAUAGGGUACGGCUCUAAUAUCCCCUCUUCAAAAGCAGGGCCUUCUAAGAACUCAAGCCUUUAAUAAGCAACAAAAAUUCAGGAAUCAGCGAAUCAAGCAUAUUUCGAAAACAGUAAACGAACAAUAAAACUAUAAGGGGAGAUUUAGUCACUAACUCUUACAGUGAUGUCAUCCCAAGCCAUAUGGAUGAGCGGUCUAGAUAAAUCCUCGGCCUUGGUUCUUGAGACGCAGAAGGCAGUCCCUCCAUCUCCAGAAUUCCAAUGAACUUCUUGAGCAAUGGCUGGAGGCGCUCCAACUGGGUUGCUGAUCUGCCAUGAUAGCAGGAUAAGAUCAAAACAUGAUAUCUAUCAAAAUUUCAGAAGCACUAAAGACAGUCCUGCGAACAGAGUUAGCUAUGAAUUGACUUAGUAGCUGUAAUAAAAAGGGAAAUAUACCUCAACUUUCCCAUGGCCCUUGCCAAGCGAUAACCAAUUAUACGCACCCUUCUAUUGAGAAAAAGGAGAGCAUACACACCCUAAAAAGAAUGAAAUAUGAGAAAACACAAAUUCACAUAGAUUUUGUUUAGAAGGAAACACAAUAAGCUCUCCACAGGAUAUUAACAUACCGGAAAUUCUUGAUUCUCAGCAAACGCAAGCUCGUGAAUGUUGUCGAUUGACUCAAUAAAUUUCUCAAACUCAGAGCAUAAGGACAUAUCAUCAAAGAAGAAGGGAAACAUCAAAACCUGACACCAAAACGAAGGCUCACAAGUUAGAAGAUGCGAAUCACAUGAUGCACAGAAUUGACAUGACAUGAGGAUUGAGGAUUCAAAGUGAAUAGAAAAAUACAAAUCAUCAGAGUCAGUUAUCAUCCAGUAGUUUAAAAAGAACGAAAAAGAAACUAUUACAAAAAUCUCAGACCGGAUAAUAUACCACAGUACCUCGUACAUAACACUAACAACUUCUGCAUGAUGAUGAUCAGGAUCAUAUGUUCCUUUUUCGAUUUUCGAGUUAAUCUCUUGCAAGUGCCUAGUGACCCUUUCCUCAUCAAGUUUUCGUAACACAGCAAGUAGUGGACCAACAGAAGAGCACUCAUACUCUUUUUCAUACAUCUCUUGAGUCUGAUGGUGCUGACAAAUGCAUUGAGCACAAAGCCGCAUCUCUUCAGAUAUUCUCUUCCACAAGACCUUGAGAGGUGAAUCAACUCUAUCAUCUUUGAAGUAGUUGUAGAAUGUCUCUAUAAGAGGUCCCAUUACAUCACCAUGCCCACACCAAAUAUGAGUAUCCUUGGGCAAAGAUAUCAAUAAAGUGAAUGCAUCUGUAAACCUGGAGCAAGAUAGAAAACAAAACAGUCAGCUAGAACUGAAAUCAGAGCAAUGUAAUAGCUGAAUUUUGUCUAAUUUUCGGAUUUGAAAUCGAUUUAACAAUGAACUAUCAGAGGUAUAGCAAAACCAUUGUUCCUUGCGCUGGUUAAGACGUCGUACUGCAGAGGGAUCAGAAUCGUCAUUCUCCUCUUCGUCUUCCUCGAUUCUCCUCCACCGGCUCAGUAGCUCUCCACUUGAGACUUUAGUCGACAUUUUAGCUCUCAAUUUUUUUACAACGGCGGCAAAAAAUCAAUCCAACAGCCGCUGUAGUCAAAAGUUCCGGCGACUGGAAUUAGGGUUUUUGAUUUACACAGGGGAGAACCAAUUUGAAAUCCCUUAAUCCGAAUUUCUUGGUCCUCGUCGACAAUAUUUGAUUUCCAGAGAAGAACCAAUUUUGAAAGCCCUUACUGUUUGUUGCCUUAGUGGGAGAGAGAAAAAAGCGAGCGUAGAAAAAAUAAACAGGUACACGACAUCGUUUUUAAACGUGGGAAAGAGAACAAGUGGGCCUAUUGGGCUUUAAUUGAAUGAAAAAUUAAAAAAGAAAAAAGAGGUAAAUCCCUUUUUGACUUAUUUUACUCGUCUUUCUUUAAAAGAAAAAACUCGUCCUUCUCUCUCUCUUGCGUUCUGCAACAUCCUCUUUCGAUUUCAGGUGAUUGUUGGGUUAGGGUUUUGAGUUUUAGCUCAAUUCAUGCUUCUGCUUCUAUUGUUGUGCUUCUAGCUUCUGGUAUUGUUCUCUAUAUGGAAAUUUUGUUGAGUAUGCUUCUGUGUUAUGGAUCCUCUGUUGGUUUUUUGGGUAUAUACACUAUAGAUCUACUAUGGUUCCUUUGCUAAUCAUCUGGGUCGUGUAAUGUGUUCCAUACGUGUUGAUAAACUUCAGUCGUUUUCAAGCACUAGGUCUAGGAUCUCUGAGAGGUUUACGGGGAUAGAAAAAAACAGGCUUAGGGAUGAUUUGACUCUCCGUAGGUAGGUUCUGCUUAUCGAUGUCUUAAGAAGUCACUAAUUCUCAAGCUUUCAUAUUUGAAAUUUCAUUCUUGAUUGUAAAAAUCUAAAUUUUUGUUUCGUGGUAUUUGUGUUCUGACUGUACAAUUUGCCACAAAGUCUUUUUCUGUUAACGAACCUCAUCAAUGAAAUAUAAAGCUUCAGCCUUAAUGUCUGGAAAUCUCUUUCUUUGCUUCCAAUUGUGGUCUGAAUUUAUGUUUUGUGGUUCUGUGUUCUUACUAGCAGCCAAGAGAUGUCGGCAUACGACAAUGUUAUUGGUGGGAAGUUGAAGCUAAAAGGGAAGGCUUUGGAUGUGAAAGCAGGUGGAGUAAAGAAGAAGAAGAAACAUAAGAAACAGGAAGAACAAGCUCUUAAAAUUACUGAACAUGAACUCAUAGAAGGUAAGACACAACCGCUUUCUUCUCAUUAACAUGACUUAACUGUUCCUUAACAUUUAUAGGCAAUGGAAAAUUCAUAUGAUGUUGAUUUCCUAUAUUGGAUUUGAGUAUAGGAGAAAGCACAGAAGCAUUGGGUAAGUUGAUCGAAGGAGAAGAAGAAGGUGAAGAAAUGGGCAGGAGUGAAAAGUCGAGUGAAGAUGUGAAUUUUCAGCACGAUGAUGAUCACUUAACGCCUGCAGAAAGAAGGUACAUAGAGCAGAAACAGAGAUUGGAUGUGCAGAAGCUAGCUAAGGAGGCCAACAAGUCUCACCGUAAUAGGAUUGAGGAUUUCAAUCAGUAUCUGGCUAACAUGAGUGAGCACUACGAUAUCCCGAAAGUCGGACCUGGUUAAUACAAAAUUUUCAUUGGCUUUGUUGUACUCUGCUUAUCAAUUUGGCAUCGUUAAACAACUACUGUUGGAUGUCUCUUAUGUUUAUUCGUACAACAUUUCAAGUAUGUAAUCUCCAGUUCUCUACUCUCUAAUGCCAAAAGACACGUUUUCUUGCAAAAUUUCUUCUGCAUUCCUCAAUAUUCAACCUUUUUGAACCAUAUGGUAGGAAAAUGAUAUAUUUGUGGGAGAUGAAUCAACUAUAUAAUCUGGGGACGAAAGUAUAAACAAUAUUGAAGUGCAAAGAAUUUAACUUCAGAGGCCCAAUGGUAUGAUGAUCCCUCGAAGGUAUCUCUUAUUGAGUUUGAGUACAAAAUCCUGUAUUCUUUUUGUCUGUACCAACAAACAAAUGAAAUCAUGAAGAGAGAAAGGGAGACCACUAUGUUACAGAGUCUAUACAACAGCUACGGAGCUACACAACCUGGAUCCAUGGACUCGUUUAAUAUCAAGUCAAGGAAGACUUCGACAAAGAACCGCUGAGCUAUAAAACACAAUACCAAAUUUAUUUGGCUGGAAUUCCCAGGCAACUAUGCAAGGACAAUAUUAGUCUGGAACAGAUAGCUUUGCAAUAGUCUUAAAAGGCCUCUGUAAUAUUAACAGAUUGAUGUCCAGCAGAAGCUAGAAUCUCUAAGUAGUAAUGUUAUCUCCAAUCUAACUUUUUAUGUUUCCAACUGAAUCUGAAAUAUUGCUGAUCCACGCUCUACUGAUAGUGGCUGUAAACUCAAGCAGAAAUACAAACUAGCUGCAACGGAACUAUCUCAUUACAAAAGACGACAUAAGGACUACAAACCUUGUGUGUACUAAGAACUGGAUCAGUAACUGUCAAAUCCAGCAGUUUCCAUAAGAAAUGGCCAAAAUGUCAGUUUUCAGAGAUCCUAUGUCUAACCGACGACCAUCUGAAAUGUAUCAAAAUGAGAUGAUUGAGUUAUACCAAAGUAAGCAGUUGAGAACAAUCCUUGGACUGUGGCGGAAUGCCCUUCCAGCCAAAUAAUUUCACCAAACGAAGACGACGAAGAGAGAGUAUUGAGCACGAACUGAAGGAAGGCCUCAAUGCACGUACAUAUGACCAGAGGAUGUUGCAUUCUAAAAAAUUACAGAGGCGGUUAAAGAUCUUGUACUCGCGUCCACAUCCUACUCUCUCGUACGCCAUCAGUUUGGUUUUAAGUCCCACAUCGGUGAAUGAGGAUAUGCUUGCUCUCACACGAGUAAUAUAAAAGAAACGUCGGAUCCAACUAACAACUCAUACCUUUCUCGGCCUUUUGGCUAAGAUCAAGUGUAGUAUCUGUUCUUAUCAGUUUAAUAUCUGAUAUGUGGGCCAUCGGCCCACACGAUAUUAACUCUAUUUUUUAAGGGAGAAAGCCCGUUAAGAUAGCUUGCUAUCUGGGCUUUCACGAGUCGCCCAUGCGUUGCACUAUUGCAAGGGCCUGGCUCAACCCGCCAACAUCAGUACUAAUAAUUCGUGAUUUAAUACAUAUAUAAUCAAAUUGGAAAGUAAUGAAAAACCAACUUGGACCAUACGAUAUUGGUGAAUUUCCUCUUAACCGAUUGUUCCGACCCCAAUUUCUGCCUGAACCAACCACGAAUUUAAAAACCAAACCGAUGUUCGUCGCUGUGAAACCUUCCCGGGAAAUAUCUGAGAGAAGAAGAGAUGGGAGAAGUGGGAAAGGCGAUCGGACUGCUGAUAAGCGGGACGCUUGUGUACCACCAUUGCGCUAAUCGGAAUGCGACUCUUCUCUCCCUCCUCUCUGACGUUCUCAUUGUUCUCUUAUCCUCUCUCGCCAUCCUCGGUCUUCUUUUCCGUCAACUCAAUGUCUCGUAAGAUCCUUGGAUUUCCCCCCCCCUUAAGUUUGAGACCUUUUCUUCAAUUCUUAUUGUUUCGACUAUACUGAUUUCUCGUACGUCUCCAAUUUGCUGAUCUAAGGUUAAAAAUUUGUAAAAUUCUUUGUUUUGGCUGUUUGAUCUGUUCAGAAUUCAAAACGAGUGUGCUUCUGCUGUGUUUAGUUUCUCAUAAUCGUGUGGAUGUUUAAACUUUUUUAUUGCUCUGAUGCAAGUUUCCGCGUGUUCACAGAACCAAAAAAGGUUCGAUUUCCUUUGGUUUUUAUCAUAACAAAUUAGGUAACCAAGCUCAAGGUUUUGUUUCUGUGAAUGUAUCAGCUUUUUAUAUUCAUAAGCAUGAGCUUUUGGCCAACUUUUUGUGUUUUUACUGUGUCUUUCUCAUAAUUUUAUCAUAAGUCAUCAACAUGAAAAGUGUAAUUGAUUUAAUGCUACCCUGUGUUUGAAAGACUCUUGCAUUCUUAAAAGUAGCAUGAUUUUCAAAGUAACAUGUUUUUUGUGAAGGGUACCUGUGGAUCCAUUAGAGUGGCAAAUAUCACAGGACACAGCCUGUAACAUUGUUGCGCGCUUAGCUAAUACUGUAGGAGCAGCUGAAUCCGUUCUGCGGGUUGCAGCAACAGGACAUGACAAGAGGCUAUUUGUUAAGGCAAGUGCAUUCUAAUUUUCUUGCUUUAUAAGAGGUAGUUUUCUUAUAUGAGUAGAGAUCACCUCGGUGCCUGCAAAGUACAUAACUAAGUACAAGAAUUUAUUGAUGAAGCAAAGAUGGUUAAGACCAUUGACUAAGAUUCCUCAGAAACCUGUCUGUUGUGGUUUUAGCCAAUUAACUCACCGAUGCAUUACAUUUCUCUGGUUUCAUACUUAGUGUCAGAAUUCUAAACUGAACUUUUGUUAUCUUCGCCUGUGUCUUUCUCUCAGGUUGUGAUCUGUCUUUACUUUAUGGCAGCUCUAGGACGAAUCAUAUCGGGUGUUACCAUUGCCUACGCAGGUAAAAAAGCAUAAUGAAUCCCUCUUAACCAUAAUGUUAAGACUGUUGGCGCAUUUAUAAUAGUGAAUUAAAACAUGAGAAGCACGAUGUGGAAUGAUGCUUUCGAUAUUUAUUUUGGAUACUUCUCUUCUUCUUCUUCCUGGUAUAAAAUGAAUGUCAAAGAAUCUGCAGAUACUGUUUUUGACUCUGUUACUUCUUCUCUCUAAAACAGGACUAUGUUUGUUCUGUCUCUCCAUGCUUUUUCAGAGUUCUAUCGGAAACUCUGUAUUGAACCGACCAAACGGAGCAGUUUUGGAAUGAGAAACACCUUCAGAGUUCUACCACACAAGCAAACUUUCUGAACUUGUUCUCUUCGUUUUGUCCUUUUCCACCUUACAUUUCAUAGCUUUGGAUAGUUGUAAUAAUUCCUGCAGUUCCUAAAUGUACAAUUUUUUUUUUUUUGUAAUUUAAAUCUGAGUUACAUUUAUCAAUGUCAACUAAAAGGAAAGUAAGAAAGUUUUGCUAGGAAUUGAAUAGUAUGUCCUAAGCAAAUGAUACACAAUUGAUUUACAUAUGAUACACAAGUGUUCAGAGAUUCUCAUGCUAUAAGAAAGUUCAUUACUUAACUAGCAAAAAAGUGCAAAACCUUUGAGAAAAAAUGAACUAGCAAAACCUUAAACCGGAUUCUAAAAGAACCGAACCGACUCCGGUAUAGUCAUCCCUUCUUGGCUCCGCAUCCGCCGCAGUUCGAGUGUUCCUCCUAAAUCUUCUUCCAACCCAACCAAAACCCUUUCGCCGUUUCUUGCUUUCACUUAUCUCGCCGGUGUAUUAUUCUGUCAAAGUCGCAAACUUUGUCCUAGAUCUCAAGUGGGUUUCCCAGAAAAGUUCCCACUUUCCCGAGAAAAGUCUUUUCAUGGUUAGGACCUUGGCGUCGCGGGUAAAAUGUUAUGGAGAUGCAAUUGGGUAAAGCAGAGAAGAAGAAUCCUUAACACACUCAGUUUCUCGUCGAGUCACGGUCAAUUCAGUGAAUAUCCUCGAAGAAUUGCUCCAAAGCCACUCACACACGAUAAUGUGUAUUCUUGUCUACGAGAGUCACCAUCUGAUCUCAAAACUUUGAAUUACUUCUUCUGGUGCGCGAAGCAGAACAACUACUUCCACGAUGAUCGAGCAUUUGAUCACAUGGUUAGUGUCGUUGAGAAGCUAACUCGGCGAUACAAUAACAUUGAUCGAAUCAUAGAGGAAUUGAAGCUAUCUGGUUGUGAGAUUAAGCCUCGGGUUUUCCUGUUACUGUUGGAAAUAUUUUGGCGUGGUCAUAUCUAUGAUAAGGCUAUCGAGGUCUACAAUGGCAUGAAUAGUUUUGGAUAUGUGCCCAACACUCGUGCCAUGAAUAUGAUGAUGGAUGUUAAUUUCAAACUCAAUCUUCUUUAUGGAGCUCUGGAAAUUUUUGAAGGAAUCCGUUUUCGAAAUUUCUUUAGUUUCGACAUUGCAUUGUGUCAUUUUGCCAGUCGAGGGUAUUUAGUUAUGGUUAGGAUAGUUUUGAAGAUGAUGAUCAGAGAAGGUUUUUAUCCUAACGGUGAGAGGUUUGGUCAGAUUAUUAGACUGUGCUGUAGAACAGGCUUCGUCCAUGAAGGGCUUCAAGUGGUUGGAUUGAUGAUAUGCAGUGGAAUCUCUGUUUCUGUUAAUGUCUGGAACACGUUGGUUAGUGGGUUUUUUCGAUCAGGAGAGCCGCAAAAGGCGGUUGAUCUGUUCAAUAAGAUGAUUCAUAGUGGUUGCUCCCCUAAUCUCGUGACAUAUACUAGUUUGAUCAAGGGGUUUAUGGAUUUUGGAAUGGUUGACGAAGCGUUUGGUUUGCUAAGUAUUGUGCAAUCCAAAGGUUUAGCUCCAGAUAUUGUUCUUUGCAAUAUGAUGAUACACACAUUCACGAGACUGGGGAGAUUUGAAGAAGCUAGCAACAUCUUCACCAGUUUGAAAAAUAGGAAACUUGUGGCGGAUCAGUAUACUUUUGCUUCAAUACUGUCCUGUCUAUCGUUGUCUAAAGAGUUCGAUCUCGUUCCUAGGAUCGCCGACGGUAUAGGAACAGAUUUUGAUCUGGUAACUGGAAACAUACUCUUAAACUAUUUCAGCAAGAGUGGUCACAAUUUGUACGCGUUGAAAGUACUCCGCAACAUGUCUAACAAAGAUUUUGCUUUGGAUUGUUAUACAUAUACUGGAUAUCUUACUGCGCUUUGUCGAGGAGGAGCAUUUCGCGAGGCGGUUAAGAUGUAUGAAAUAAUAACCCGGGAGAACAAAAGUCUCGAUGCACAUUUUCAUACUGCGAUAAUUGACAGUCUUAUAGAGCUUGGUAAAUACACUACCGCGAUUCAUUUGUUCAAACGGUGCAUCUUGGAGAAAUAUCCUUUAGAUGUUGUGUCGUACACAGUAGCUAUGAAGGGACUUGUCCGUGCGAAUAGGAUCAAUGAAGCUUGUUCUUUGUUUUAUGACAUGAAAGAAGAUGGGGUUGUUCCGAAUGGACGGACUUAUCGGACUCUUAUCUCUGGCUUGUGCAAGGAGAAAGAAAAUGAGAAAGUGAAAAAGAUAUUACGGGAAUGCAUUGAGGAGGGAGUUGAGUUGGAUCCUAAUACUAAGUUUAAAGUGUUUAGUCUAUUGUCUCCAUAUCGCAGAGAUUUCUCUGAAUUUAGAUCAGUUUUUGAUAAAUGGAGAUCGGAGUUCACAGAAGACGUGGAUGUUUCUGAUUCCGAUGAUGAAUUAUCUGUUUCUGUUGGUUGAGUUGGAGGAAAAUGUAUGAUGUACACAAUUGGCGUUGUAAUUCUUCUGUUCACUGUAUAUACCAAAAAUAAAAUAGCUGAUUNNNNNNNNNNNNNNNNNNNNNNNNNNNNNNNNNNNNNNNNNNNNNNNNNNNNNNNNNNNNNNNNNNNNNNNNNNNNNNNNNNNNNNNNNNNNNNNNNNNNNNNNNNNNNNNNNNNNNNNNNNNNNNNNNNNNNNNNNNNNNNNNNNNNNNNNNNNNNNNNNNNNNNNNNNNNNNNNNNNNNNNNNNNNNNNNNNNNNNNNNNNNNNNNNNNNNNNNNNNNNNNNNNNNNNNNNNNNNNNNNNNNNNNNNNNNNNNNNNNNNNNNNNNNNNNNNNNNNNNNNNNNNNNNNNNNNNNNNNNNNNNNNNNNNNNNNNNNNNNNNNNNNNNNNNNNNNNNNNNNNNNNNNNNNNNNNNNNNNNNNNNNNNNNNNNNNNNNNNNNNNNNNNNNNNNNNNNNNNNNNNNNNNNNNNNNNNNNNNNNNNNNNNNNNNNNNNNNNNNNNNNNNNNNNNNNNNNNNNNNNNNNNNNNNNNNNNNNNNNNNNNNNNNNNNNNNNNNNNNNNNNNNNNNNNNNNNNNNNNNNNNNNNNNNNNNNNNNNNNNNNNNNNNNNNNNNNNNNNNNNNNNNNNNNNNNNNNNNNNNNNNNNNNNNNNNNNNNNNNNNNNNNNNNNNNNNNNNNNNNNNNNNNNNNNNNNNNNNNNNNNNNNNNNNNNNNNNNNNNNNNNNNNNNNNNNNNNNNNNNNNNNNNNNNNNNNNNNNNNNNNNNNNNNNNNNNNNNNNNNNNNNNNNNNNNNNNNNNNNNNNNNNNNNNNNNAUUUCAAGUAUUUUCAUCUAGUAUAAUAUAUCCUAUCAAUACAAAGCCAUAAAUCAUGGAUUUUGACAUUCCUUUUGGCUUCAUCAAAUUUUGAGCUCACUUGUUUUACUAAUCAUCAUAAAACCAAGCUUUUUACUGCUUCUGCUCUCUACCAAACCCGUCUCCUAUCCAAUUCUUGUUCCUCUUUUUUUGGGUAAGGGCAUUUCUUCUUCCUCUUUAAGACGUGAGUUCCUUAACAUCCUUCAACCUCUUGAAUAUUUUCUUUUCAAAAAUAGCUCGAUCGAAUACUGUUGGAACAAAACCUAUUAACCUACUCAAGAGUCAGGAUCGUCGAGGUGUUUUGCCUGAGCUUACUGGUAUAGUAUCCAUAUUUAUCGCAGGAUAUCUGAAAAGACAUAAAAUCUCCCAUUUGUAAAAGAACAAGAGAGAAUACGCAUUAGAACAAAAUGCAAGAGAAGAGGAUGAAUGAGGAGACGAAAUGAAAACUUAGAUUGCAAUUUCUUUUCGUAAUGUAGAAACUAUACUGGGUUAGAUUACCUCGUUUCCAAUUAACAUAAACAACUUGUUAACAAUAGAAAGAGCAACGAAACAGAUAUAUAUACAUACACACCGACUGUUGAAAAAGAACAGUUUACAUUAUAACAAAAGGAAAUGCUACGAACCUACAACAACUAAUCUUAUUCAUUUUUUUCACAUUUCGGGAUCAGAAAGAGAAAGAUGGUUUGUCUAUAUCGCAUCUUCGCACUUGCUCUUGGACAUCCGAAUUGUCCCAGUCGCUCCUGUUCUUGACAAAUCUACAAAUCCUGAAAAACCCCAAUCUUUAUGUGAUCAGAAACCAAAUACUUUCGCCUUAAUAAGGAUUCAUAGAUUUAUCUGAUCGAUCAUUCCAUUAAGAUCAUAACUUUAUAGUUAAGGUGGAUAAUAACUCACCCAAACGAGAAGUGCAGUUUUACACUUCCUCAUCCUCGGAGUGAGACUCAGUAUGUGAAGCUGUGUUGUCGGACUUGGUCUCCAUCAGUUUAGGUUGUAAUCCUGAACCACCCAAGGAACACAUCAAUAAUGUUAAUGAAUGACCGACACAAAAAUCGAUUCUCAGAGCAACACAGCUAUUAAAGAACCUGUUCCACCACAUACGCUACUGCCUAUAGGAAUAAUGAUUGGUUCUCUAAAUGUUAAUCAAAUAUAUUGAUCUCCCAUUCAGAACCUGUAACAACAUCGAGCAAUGACUAGCUUUAAGUAUUGCAUUAGCAACAACAAUGUCAAAUCUUCUAUAUCUGCCACUAAUUCAAUCAUCUGAAUGCUCAAAACUUGAUCAAAAUUCCUAGGUAGCUAACGAUGAUUAAAAAGCUCUACAUAUUCAAUAUUCCAAUCCCAAGCUUUCUAGAUGAUCAUUUUCCAGUCCCAAAUCGCAAAAAAAAAAAAUGGAUGAUCAACCGAACCACUAAACACCUAUCUCAUUUUCAUAAAAUACAGAGAGAUAUAACAAAAAGAACCUUUAAGGAAAUAAUCGGAGGAAGGCCAUCCAUGAGACGAAUUGGUAGAUAACGAUUCGUCGUCGGUUAAGGGAUUCGCGAGCUUGGCAACGAGCUGAGCGAUUCCAUGAGACUGAGAUCCAGAUCCAGGAGGCGGUACCCAAUACGAAGCACCGGGAACAAAAGGGAGCCAAUCAGGCGCAGAUCGGCGUACAAAUAUCCGGUGAACGGCGUCCUCGAGCUUCUGAAUCAAAGGAUCCGACGGCGAUUGCGACGCCGCGACAUCGAUUUCGUAAAGAUCGCCACGGCGACCGGAGGAUUGAGAUCGGAAGGAAACGAGGUGCGAUGAAGGGAGGAGAGAAGAUGAUGCGGCGGCGAGACGGCUUUUAGAGAGAGAAAGUGAAAGAGAGAUAGAUCGAGCCAUCAUCAGCUAAAAGAGAAGAGCGACGAGAUCGGUUUCGGUUUCGGUUUCGGUUUCGGAAUCAACGCUGUAAUUAUAAGUUUUGGAUAAUGCUGAGACCAAGCUUUUCCUUUUUUUUCCCACCCUUUUUAUCGUAAUUUUUGUUUGAUUUAUUAUUAUUACCUACAGAUUUUAUUUUAUUUCAUUUUACUUUUCAGCCGACUUGACUAAAUUAGCUGUCCUUUUUUUAAGUACUACGGAUAAACCACGGACUAUUAGGAAACCUAUGGUUUUAGGACUGUUAAUCCUAGGGGCGUACAUAAUCUAUAAUUGACUUAAAAUGUUUGUUUAUAAACUGAUAUAUGAAAUACUAUAUUUAUUUAUGAUAUGUUUUAAACCAGAAAUUAGUUUGUGUUUAUUAUAUUGUUAAAGAAAACAAAGUAAAAUUGUGUUUAUAUUCGUUACCGUACCUCCAAUAAUCCCAAGAGGCCAAGACUGUGAAAAAUGAAAAAGGAAUCCAAAAUAUGUCAUAGUCACUGUUUCAAUCUUAAGAUAUUUUGCCAGCUAAAAACCAAAAAAAAAAAAGGUAUCUAAAUUAAAUUCUAAACAUGGUGGGGAAAGUAUUAUAGAUUUCAGAAACGAAGACUAGUUGAAUCACCGUCACAAAUCACAAUCAUCAGUCUUAUUGGUAUAUACAAUAUAGUUUCCAGCCUUUUAUAAUAUGAUUAAAUAGAUAUUUUGUUAAAGUGUGUUAGAUAUUUUGGGUCGACGGUCUAGGUAACUAUAUUAUCAUUGUUCGCGAGGCUACGUAUCCUUCUUCUAGUUUUUUUUUUGGUUAAAGAGGUAUCGACUCAUCAAUCCCAAAACAUAUCAUUAAAUCCCAAGUUAUCUUUGAUCAAAUUAACUCUGCUGGAAACGUAGAAUCUAAAAUAUAAUAUUCAUGACAAAAAGAAGAACAAAUAAGUCAUGUGGAUCUGGUCGUUGUUGUAUACAGAGCAACCAUGUGAUGUAGACCAAAACAAAAAAAAACAGAGUCGUUUGAUUUGAUCCCAAUAGAAGAAAACACACUGAUGAUUAUUUUUAAUUGAUAAAAAGGGCCCCUCGUAAGCUUAAGACGGACGACAGCGUAUUUAUAGCUCUUCAGAACCCUCCGACUGCGGCUUCACUCCACCGGAAAAGCUCCUCUUCACUUUUUCUUUCACCGCUUCUGCCGUGUCACUCACCACUUCCGCCGCUGAUUUAGCAGCUUCUUCCACCGUCGCUUUACUAUUCUCAAAGCUCCUCGUCGCCGCCUCUUUCAUAUUUUCACCCGCUCCCAUUGGGGCAUCAUUCUUUCCUGUAAAACUGUAUAUAUACAAGGAAACGGAUCGUUUUGAGCUCAAAACAAACAAGAUUCUCCGAACCAAACGAAGAUUUGAGAGUAAUUUUUUUUAUACUUACUAUGUAUUGGGAGGAAAGAAGUGGGACUGUCCACGAUCCAAAGUCUCCCUGAGUUUGGCCCAGUAGUUUUUACCAGUACUUCUAAUUUUAGUUAGCCAAACCGUCGUCGUUUUGUCUUCAGAUGGCACCGCUCUCUGAGAAUCGACGUCAUCGGCCGAAGCUUUCACUGAUAACACCACGAAGAGGACGAAGAAGAUCGAGAAUAUGCAUAGCAUGUGAAAACCUUUUCCAUGCUUUACCUUUUCGGCCAUUUUUUUUUUUGAUUUAUUUUAAUGUUUUCUCUGUGUUUAUAUUAAUGCGGUGAGAGGAAGCUGAGGACCAAACUUACAUACAUAUAAUAAACCUAUAACAUGAGUUUUGAGUUUUGCCAAGCCAGUCGGCGAUAAAGUCCUGGUAGGGACAUAACACGUGUCUGGCGGGUCGAACCACGAAACGACAAAACUACCGACGUGAAAUGUGGUGGCUCAUGCGACAUCAAGACACGUGGCCCUUUCACCCCACUUUCAGAUUAUUUCGUUUUUGAGCAAUUUUGAACUGACCGGUUUGUUUAGUUGAGCAAAACCGGUCUUCUCCGACCGUUUCGAUUUCCAAUUUCCAAAAUUAUGUCACGACAAGAAAAACGGUAAAAUUCUCUAUUUGGGUUGGUAGUCCAACGCAAGGCAUUAGGUGACUAAUCGUAUGAUAAACAGACUACUCAAAUUCGAAUUAAAUAUUGUGUUAAAUUAUUAUUUAAGCUAAAGGAUGAGAAACCCUCUUUGUUAUGAUUAUGAAUAAAAAAAAUGCCAAGACCUAUACACCUUAGUUUUGAUUUGAUUAAAGAUAAAACUAGAGUCCACAAAGCAUCAAGACAGGUGACCACGUUUGUGUGUUUUAUUGUUUAUAGAUGUUGUAAUAUUAAGGGCCUGACUCGAAAUUAACCUUUUAUAUUUCUUUGUGUUAAUUCACUUUCAAGAAAUAUAUAGUUUUUUAUAUAAUUAUAGAUGGUGUAUUCGUCUUGCUUUCAAUCAUUAUAAAUGAGUUACAUUAUUAGCUAUUACGUGUCUUUCGCGCGUCGAGGUUUUCGCAUAAUGCAUACUAAAAAUAAUGAAUGAAUCACAUGUUCUUCAAAUUUGUAUAUAUCUCUCACUCUGAUUAAGUUAGGUGUUAGUUUUUUUAAAUAUAAUAGUAUUCCUCCUUAAAGAAUUAUAAUAGAGCUUGAUUAACGGGGGUAAUAGAUUGACUAACCAUUCGAUGUGACCAAUCAUAAUUACGAAUUUACUUUGCUUGAAAGAAAAGCUUUCAAUAAUUAACUUAACCCAAUCGACCUAAUUAAAACGCAACCAAUUACACCUUUGGCGUGAGGAGAAAAUUAAAUUUAAAUGUAUAUGUGUUUUUUUUUUUUUUGGCUUUACCAUACAUACUUGCUCUAAAUUCUACAGAAUAUGUAGAGUUUUAAAUAAAUAAAAAAAGACAAAACUAAUUUAUACAAAAGGUUUGGUGGAAAGAAGCUUAUUGCGUUUCAAAUGAUGCUAAAAUACGUUCUUGUAAUGUCGACAUAGAAAAACAUUACAUUAUAUUUGAAUUUACACCUUAAUUUUUUGUUCUCUUUGUAAAAAAAAAAAAGUACAGAGUGUUUCUUCUUCCUCUUUGUAACAGUUUGGUAGACAUUUAAAAAGAGAAAAAAAUAAAAAACCUUAGCCCUUUUUUAGAGAGAGAAAGAAAGAGAGAGAGAGAGAGAGAGACUGAGACAACUCAUCAGUUGUUGCGGCUGAAAGAGAGAUAGAGAGAUCGAGAUCGAGAUCCACACGACGGAGAAGAGAGCUCACCGGCGGGUGAUGGGAUCUUGGCUUCCCCAGUAUUGCUUCCGCUUCGUCUUCUACUGUCACUCCCUCAACAAAUAGCAAUUACUUGAGAAGCUUAGCUGCAUUUUCUCCGAAACUCACGCACACUCUUUUACUCAGGUACCCAUCCCAGUUUCUUCUCAAUUUUCAUUUUCCUCGAUUCGAUUCUUCUUGGCUGAUCGUGUUUUUUUCUUCCUUUUCUGGGGUUUAUCCUCUCUCUUCUUUUUUUUUUUUCCCUGAUUCCAAUUUUUCUGUUUUUUUUUUUGGGGAUACGUUUGGGAAAUGGGGAUCUAGAUUUCAGACUUUUGUACUCUAUAUGAUUUUGGGUAAUUUACUUGAAAUGGAAACUGCUUCUAAAUCCGAGAGAAGUCCUUUGUUUGGGUGUGUGAUAGAUACGGCGUUGAAUUUUUCAAGUGACAAGUCCACCGAUCUUUCUGGGAGUUUUUGGAAUUUUUCUCAAUUCAAUUAUUUCUAUGAUUCAGCUUCUGGGCAAUUCGAUUAUGGAGAAACGUUUUUAGAUUCUAACAAGUCAAUCCCUGGUUAACGCAGUAAUUGGUAAUAUAAACUUAGAGAUCUGAGCCUAUAGUUUGUGGUCCACUUAAGAAUACAAAUGGCUAUUCUGAUUUCUGAGUAAAAAAAAAACUGAGUUCUGGCUGCUAUAGCUUGUAGUUGUCGGCAUAGGUCUGUCUCUGAAGCCUGCUUCUUUUGUAUUUCUGAUUGUGGUAUUGCCCAUUGUUUCAUCUGUCACAAUUGUAAUCUGACUAGGACUUUUUCUUCAUUUUUAUAAUGUUGUUAUGUCUAUACAUGUGAAGCAGUUCUGCAUUUGGGUCAUUUCUCACUACUUCCUGUGUUUCUUUUUCCCUCUGUAGGAUUUGUAAUUCUUACGGUUGAACAUAGUGUUUGUUGUGGUAUUCAGACUUCAAAGUAACUUGCUCUGGGUUUUCUUUAAGUAACCAAAAUGGGUUCAAGAUACCCAUCUCAUCAGCUCAGCAAUGGGCUAUUUGUGUCUGGUCGGCCUGAGCAACCCAAAGAACGGCCUCCAACCAUGAGCGCAGUAGCCAUGCCUUACACGGGUGGCGAUAUCAAGAGAUCAGGAGAAUUGGGGAAGAUGUUUGAUAUUCCAACAGAUGGGACUAAGUCAAGGAAGUCUGGUCCCAUACCUGGUGCUCCUUCAAGGUCUGGCUCAUUUGCAGGAACUGCUCAAUCAGGUCCAGGUGCUCCUAUUGCCACUGGCCGUAUGUCUGGGUCUUUAGCCUCUGCUGGCUCAGUUUCAAUGAAAAAAACCAACUCUGGACCUUUGUCUAAGCAUGGAGAGCCGUUAAAGAAAUCAUCUGGACCACAAUCUGGUGGUGUAACACGGCAAAAUUCUGGUCCUAUUCCUAUUCUUCCAGCUACAGGUCUCAUCACCUCUGGGCCUAUUACAUCAGGCCCUCUGAAUUCAUCUGGAGCCCCCAGGAAGGUUUCUGGUCCUCUAGACUCUUCUGGUUUGAUGAAGUCACAUAUCCCUGCUGUUGUCCACAACCAGGCGGUAACGACCCUUGGUCCAGAAGAUGACUUUUCCUGCUUGAAGAGCUUCCCAAAGCCUGUUCUGUGGCUGGUUGUUCUUAUCUUCAUAAUGGGUUUCCUUGCCGGAGGCUUCAUUCUUGGAGCAGUUCACAACCCAAUUCUCCUCGUUGUUGUCGCCAUAUUGUUCACAGUUGUUGCUGCACUUUUUAUUUGGAAUAUGUGUUGGGGGAGACGUGGUAUCACAGAUUUCAUUGCUCGUUACCCUGAUGCUGAUCUUAGAACAGCCAAAAAUGGUCAAUACGUGAAAGUCACUGGGGUAAGCAUCCUUGUGCCAAUCUUACAAUUGACUAUUUUAUGUUUUUUUAGUCUGCUGCUAGUCUACUUACCAGAAAUGUGACUUCGGUCUCUGAUCAUACAAUUACAUCAAUAAUUUGGCUGCAAUUGAUAGAAGGCGAUAGCUUUUUGCAUCUGAUAUCUUUUAAACUAAUAACAAACAGAGUACUACUUUGUUAUAAUAGUGGAGUAAAACAUGUUUGGAUGGAUAGAAGCAGAGAUUGCGUUAGAUAUUGGAAUGCAUUUGUAAACUUGGCUUGCUCUGUGUGUGACCUGAUUUUUGUUUUAUUGUUUGAAGGUGGUUACUUGUGGUAAUGUACCCCUUGAGUCAUCCUUCCACAGAGUCCCCAGAUGUGUGUACACGUCGACAUGUCUAUAUGAGUAUCGUGGAUGGGGUUCAAAACCAGCCAAUUCUUCCCAUCGUCACUUCACAUGGGGACUGAGAUCAUCAGAGGUUAGUUAUUCCCCCAGUAUUUCGUUUUCACAGAGGAAAUGUUAUAUUAUCUUCCUCAACCUCAUCAAAGAACACUUCCUUGUACCAUUAUGUGGCAGAGACAUGUGGUGGACUUCUACAUCUCUGAUUUUCAAUCUGGGCUCAGAGCCUUAGUUAAAACUGGAAACGGUGCAAAGGUGACACCUCUUGUAGAUGAUUCUGUUGUUGUCGAUUUUAAGCAAGGAAGCGAGCAAGUGUCUCCCGAUUUUGUUCGAUGGUUAAACAAGAAGAAUCUAACGAGCGAUGAUCGAAUAAUGCGGCUCAAAGAAGGGUACGGAACAAACACUUCAUAAACAACUCUCAAAGUUGGAAAACCCUUAACAGUAAUAGAAGCUUUGAUCCUGAUUCUUGGAUUUCCAUUUCAGAUAUAUAAAAGAAGGAAGCACAGUGAGUGUGAUUGGAGUGGUGCAGAGAAACGAUAAUGUGUUAAUGAUAGUUCCCUCAUCUGAGCCACUUGCAGCUGGUUGGCAAUGGAGGAGAUGUACAUUCCCUACAAGUCUUGAAGGAAUCGUAUUGAGAUGUGAAGACUCAUCAAAUGUUGAUGCCAUACCUGUUUGAGUUAUCAUCAUCAUCAACAUUCGAGUUUGGGUUCAUUAAAUAUUUUUCAUGAAUCUGGAAAAAAAUGUGAUCUUCCUGGUGGCUUCAUUCGGUGGUGGUUGUAGUGUUAUUUUCUUUCUUUUUAAUUCUCAUUAAUUUUUUUUUUCCUGUGUUCGAGUUAUUCCGGUUGGGAUGGUGAGGUUUCAUUUUCUUAAGAUGAGCUAAUUGUUUUUUCUUCUUAUUCCUCUUCUUCGCCUUUUGGUUUGUAUAGCUCUUCAAGUCAAUUCUUUUCCAAUAGAACCUGUGUAUUUUUCUCAAGGUGUUAUGUUGUCUAAAUCUUUCCUUUUUGUGGAAACAUAUCUUUUUGCUGUUUCUUUUUAAACCCUAUCUGGUUGUGUCAUGUUAUAUGCCAUUUGUGUAUUCAUUCCUAAUCAGCAGAAUAAAUAUGCUAUCUCGAUUUUUUUCCUCCAUUAAUUGCCAGAUUAGUGAGUUGACAACUUUUACCUUUUCCCCACAUUUUGUAUAUUUUGCAUCUACAUGACUGCAUUGUUUUGUCAAUUGGAGCCAUAAUAAAUGAGAGGCACUGAUUUUAUUAGAAAGAAAUUAAGGUUAAGAAACCAGUGUUUUACAGACAGCCAAGACCUAAAAACUACGAACUCAAACAACAAAAAUCUUCCUUUAAUUCAGAAAGGACAAUGAAAAGAGUUGUUUCCCAAACUGAAUGGAUAACUUUAAACACCAGCAAAGGCGACCAACCUUAAUGUAACCAAAAUCACAAUCUAAUUUUGUUUGUUUGUGUGUUUGCUUGCUUCUCAAUGGGACUAACCAACCUCAACGCAUGAAAGGGACUAACCAACGCAUCUCAGCUCCAUUCCCAUUUGCCAGAUAGUAUAUCUUCUUCCAGUUUUCUUCUGUAAAUACUUCACGCCGAACUAGUCUUUGCCUGAAACAAUAGCAGAUCGAACGUUCAUGACAACGAUAUUCAGUUUCAUACAUUUCUCUCAAGUAGAUAAACUCCAUGAUGAAUCAAAACUACAAAUAGGGGUCUGAUAAGUAGAGAGGAUUACAGAGCUGAGUACUAUUGGUAUUAUGUAACUCACCGAAGGUAGUAAUAGCAGACAGCUUCUGCUUCUUCCAAAGAAUAACGUGGGAAAGGCUGACGAGCAUCAACUGGAACAUCUGGCAAGUCUUUGCGUAGUUUUCCCACUGCUGUUGAAUGUGAGAAUGCACCCACCAUCAUAUCUUCAUGCAUCAUGCUUCUGAAAGCGUUCACCUGCCAAAAUAAUUGAGUGAAUUGGGGUUGCUUUCUUUCUCUCAAUCAGAUAGAAUUUGGAAGAAAAAUCCACCGUUGUAAGUUCUCUGGCAUGUAUAGGUCGGCAAGAACGUGGUGUUACAGGCUCCUCAAACUCACUGAAUGUAAACCAGCUGUUAUACUGAAAGACAGAGUAACAACAAACAAAAUUAACGAUAGUGGAAAAAAGACGCAGCUUUAAAAUAAUAUCAUAUGAAAUCACAAGAGGGAAAUUGAGGGACUAACUUGAUCGAUUGCAAUCAACACUGGUACAUCUUUUACGAGUGAGAGCUCUUUUCUAAGUCGCACUACGACAUUAACUGAUGCAUGAGUGCUCUUAAUCCCCAUUUGCACAAGGUCAUACAGAGUUGAAUCCUCUGGAACUGGCAUGGUAUCUGCUCCUUUCAGGUAUCCUACACCCGCACCCUCUCCAAGCACGAUGGGAUCAUGUAUUUUGCACCUUAACUCUUUUAAACGGGAUUCAUUGAACUUGACAAAGUCCUACAGAAGUUAACUUUAAUAAGAGAUGCUUUUAACUAGGAAGAAUUCCAUUCGGAAAGAGGAGGCAUGUGAAAUCUUGCCUUGAGAAUAUUCUCAGCUUGUAGAGGAGUGUCCCAAAAACCUGUAUGUGGAUUCUUAUAGAAGUAACCUCCAUGAGUCCAGUCACGUCCUUUCGGGGCAUAUAAAACUAGCCAGCCUUCGUCACGUGCCCAGUGAACAAGCAUCGCCAAAGCAAUACUCUUUCCACAUUUAACAGGGCCAUCCAGGAAAAUCUGUUUCUUAAGUUUGACACCUUUUCAGGAAAAGAGAACCAAUGGUUAAAAAAAUAAUUAAAGGCAUUACAGAUCCCAGAUAAGGCCAUAUGACAAGCAAAACUAAAACCAACAGAUUAUAUUGUUCACGUUUCUAAAAGGAGAAAAUAUAACCAGCUGACCGCUGAAGAGAUCACUAUUCGUAUACUACAUAAGAAUACAACCUAACGCACAGAAAGGUUCAAUAAAAAAAACUCACCUUUACCGUCACUUGGCCACAUAGGAGGAUCAGCAAUGCGUCUGAAAUUAUCCCUAAGAGCCAAGAAACUUUUUCUCACAAGCAAAGCAGGUCUCCAUGAUUCAUUAAACUCGUCUUGGAUUCCUGAAGCCAAUCCCUCCGGCAGAACUGCUUUCAGUGCUGCCUCACUACAUUCGCACAUUAUACAUAACAUCAACACAAAAUUCCGAAAGUGUGAAACAGAAUAUCACAGAGGAUAAGGGAAGAUAGAAUUAAGAUUACUCGAAUUUGAAGUAGGAGCCAAUAUCCUUGUGAGAAAGCUGCGAGAGUGUAGUCUCUUUGGGAGUAAAGAGAGGCCUUCCAUUAGGACCUACAUCUAGAGACGGAAUCUUCUCAUCAUCAGCUAACCUCUUGGCUCGACCGGCUUCGAGGUCAUCUCCUCCGCCGCCUCCAAACUCUCCGUCCUCGGCUCCGGCGGCACCAGGAUCGCCGCCUUUAGGUUUGGAUUUUUUGCCUUCAGCCUUCUUGGUCUUGGUGAUAGAAGAUUUGGUGCUCUUCGAAGAUGAAAAGCAUCGAUGCACAUGAUCUAAACUCGGGAGAAGUGUUUCCACGGCGGGCGCUGAGAAAUGAGAAACGGUAUCAUUUAGAAUCGAAGACCUCCGAUUCAAUUUGAGGUUCCCGGCGGCUAUUCUUACGACGGACCUCCACAUUUUUCGCUGGCUCGCUAUCUCUCACUCUCUCGUCAGUCGUCACCGUCUAAAGGUUUAGGGAGGGGAUUUGGGCGCAAAUCUGACGACCAAGCAAGGAAGGAAAGGGCUGAAGCAGCGAGCUAAGCAAAGUGGCAAACUUGUAAAUUUCGACAUGAUCAGCUUAGCACUAAGCCCAUUAAAUAUUGGGCCGAUAUAGCAUGUUUGUGCUGACAAAACCCCUUAGGAUCCAUAUUCCUUGUGUAGUUAUGUAUAGAAUUUAUAUUCUUCUUUUUUUUUAGCAGCUAUAAUUUAUUUUUAAUACAGAAAUAUGGUUUGUUUUUCCUAAUCAGUAAGCUAAUAUAAAGGACGAGGGUAUAUCAUAUGUGCAUUUAAUCAUUGAAUAUGAUAACUGAUCAUACAUUUAACUCAAUAACAUGCUAUUUUGAAAUAAUACUUAUCAAGUUAUUUGUUGAGAAAAAUCAUAUUAUAUAUUAAUGGUUUUGGUACCACGAUAUUUUUCAACUUUGUUUUAGGUUUAUAGUUAGGUAGCAAAAUAAGCCUUUUUUCUUUGUCAAAUUAAUAUAUAAUUUUAAAAUUUUUAACUUUAAUAGCGUCACCUAAUUUAACUACGCGGUAAAACACUUUGAAAGUAUGGGCGAAUAGGAUGUCACAUCCGAUAAAAUUGGGGCCAAUAGAAUAACGCAAUUUGUCGCGAAUUGUGAAAUUAAAAAGAGAAAUAAAAGAGAGAGAGACCAAAUAAAUAUAAUAAAAAGUGGGAGAAAGAAAUAAAGGAAAAGGAAAGCAAGAGAAAUGGCGAUCUAACGUUGAAGAUAAUAACAAGACAAAUUUGUGUCUCAUAUCUUUUUUAUUAUCCUCUCAUGGCGGAUAACACAAGAAUUGUCCAGAGGCUCUUCAUCUUCUUCUUCUUC